rnacentral:misc_RNA from 1 species
GAUGAAGAACGUAGCGAAAUGCGAUACGUAAUGUGAAUUGCAGAUCUCUCAGUGAACCAUCGAAUCUUUGAACGCACAUUGCGCCCAUUGGUAUUCCGAUGGGCAUGCCUGUUCGAGCGUCAUUAUCAACCCUCAAGCCUCCGGCUUGGUGUUGGAGGUCUGGCGGUCCCUGCGGAUCGCCCCUCCCAAAUACAACGACGGCGGCGGCGAGCGUCCCCGGUACACUGAGCUUUUCACCGAGCACGUACUGGAUGGGCCUCGACGUCCCGGUCUGCCUCCCCUCCGGGAGAAUUUUUCUCAAGGUUGACCUCGGAUCAGGUAGGGAUACCCGCUGAACUUAAGCAUAUCAAUAAGCGGAGGA